UCAGGCCGGUUCGCAGAGCGCGCCGCCUCCAGCCCGCGCCGAGGUAGCACCUGGUCCGCCGCCUCCUGGCGCCUGAUCAAGAUAUCAAUCACCGCGCGGGGCAGGGGGGCGCGCGGCGCGGAAGGCUCCAGAAGCCGCAUGUGCAGAUGAAGAGAAUGAGCUCAGAGAGGUGGCAUCUUGUCCAGCGUCCUACAGCAGAUGCCCUGUGGACCCUGGUAGGCUACCAAAGCCAGGACAUGGAUGGAGAUGCAGAAACCAAGGCCCAGAAGAAGAAGGACUUGCCCUCAGUCACUCAGCAAAUCAGAGCAGGGGCGUCCUAAAACCUAGGUCUCUGAAACCCAGCUCAGCUCCCUCCUUCUGCUCUACCCUAACACCACCCUACAAAACCCCCUCACUUCUGCACGACCACCUGCUCCCCGGGGAAACACCAGGGAUGCCAAGGCUUUCUGAGGACAUGACUCCCUGGGCUGCAACUGUUCCUGAUGAGCCAGAAGUCUUCCUGGCCCCAAGAGAAAAAGGGGCCACCUUUUUCACUUUUUACUCACCUCUAUAGCUUGCACAGUACCUGGCACUAAAACAUGCAUGCUGGACAAAUAAGUAAGCACUGAUUAAGCACCAUUUGCAGUAGAUGCCAUGGGCCUAUUUUAAAGAAGAGAAAAGUUGAGGCCCAGGGAGGUUGAAUAGCUUGCCCGAAGUCACACGGCUAAUAAACGGUGCUGUCAGGCUUAGAACGCAGUUCGGCCAGACUCCACACCUGUGGUCCUCCCAACGGGAAAUCUACCUGUCCUCCUAGUGUCCUGGAAGGUAAACAGGAUGAAGAGGAGUGUGGUCAGCAGAUGAGGAACAGGCUCUGAGAGGGGAGGCGUUCUUUCAACCAACGCCAAGCCAGGAGCUCAGCCCCCUCCGACUCUCACUUAGGCUCCCGGGUCCCCAAGCCCCACCCAGGCUAGAUUCCUCCUCCUGCCCACCCCACUCCUCCACCAAAAGCUGCAGGUGGAGCCUCGUGGGGACUCGACAGCAUUGCCACCCCACCUCCGGGCCUCUCCUGGAGCCCCCUAACUGGUUUCUCUGCUAACACCGGGCCCCUGCAUUCACUUCUCCACAAAGCAGCUAUGGUGGCAAUUAGGCCAAGUCACCCCGAAAUGGAAACUCUGCACUGGCUUCCCAUCCCCCUUAGAUAAACUCUGAGGUCGUGGCCACGGCCCCCCCAGGCCCUGCGAGAGGGCUGUGUUCUCUGAGAUCUCCCUCCUACCUCGUGCCAGCCCCCUCGUUCCAGGCUGACACCCCCGUGGCCUUCCUGCAGCUCCUUUAAAGUACAAAACACAUUCCGUCCUCAGGACUUUGUAUUUGCCCACCUGCCUCCCGAAAUGCCCUUUCCCCAGAUACUUGCCUGAUGGAUCCAUUUCUUUAUUGGUUAAUGGCCUGUUUCCACUGGAAUAUGAGCUGCGGGGAGGAGGGACCUGCUGUGUCCCCAGCCACCCUUGCAGUCCCCGCUGUGGGCUCGCCCUUACCCUGUUCCAAAGUGACAACCUCUGGCCUGAGCCCUGGUGCAGGGCUGAGUCUCAGGGCCAGCUUGCCCUCUUCACCCCACCUGGAGCCCCACGAACAGGACAAAUGACAGGCAUGUCUCUUCGGGUGCGCAGCCCGGCCCCGGAGUGUCCACAUUGUUCCUGGAAAUUAGCAGCGGUCACUGCCCUCGGGGGAAGCACUCCACCCCACGGGCUACCUCACUGGGGGGAGUGGGGGAGAGGAAGGGAGAAGAGAAACAAGAUCCCCAGGCAGGCCAAUGCCGGUGCCUUUUCCCUGCCUGAGACACACACUUCAUUUAAUUUUCAUAGUGGAGGGAGAUGUGGGGUCUUUUGAGCACCGAUAUCCUCGUGGGCCAGUCUAAGUGGCAGACAAUAAGUGGAGGAGCCAGCGCAGAGCGCCGGCCCCGCUGUCACUCUUGCCAGAUUAACAACUUCAUCGGAGCCUUUGUUGAUAUUGACACUUGGUUGCUAGGUAACAUGUUUACCGCCCAGUGAAUAGGGACUUGAGGGCCAGGGGGCACAGUCAACAGAUUGGCAAAUAAGGCGGACGUGCUGUGACUUGAUGUGCCCGCCGUGGUGCCCAGGAGCAGGGCAGGGACGCCAAUCUGCCCUGGCUACCCCAGCUCAGCAAGCGACUUGGGGUCAGCGUGGUCUGGUGCCCAGGUGGGGCAGAUCCUGGAGAUCCACCCCGGGGUCUGUCCCCACGGUGCCAUCCGCAUCCCCAGCCUCUUGACAGGAGUGUUCCCAUUCAGCGGUACCGUAUUAUUACAGUCUCCCCGCUGUGCUCUACAGUCCUGAAGAGGCCUGAUGAGUGCACCCUUGGGAACACUUUACCCAUGCAAAGAACCACUGCUGGGAAUCUGGAGGCUGUGUGCACGUGCUUUCACCCUGGUGCUUGUAACCUGAGAUUAGAAUGCUAGCCUGCCCACACCAUCAGGGUGUUCAAAGGACUGCCACCUGGGAAGUACAGCUGAGUGUCAGGACUGUGCUAGGCACAGUGAGGUGAUCCCUUGACCCCUUAUACCCACCGCACGCACGAGGUGGCGACUGUUCUGAAUUCCUUUUGCAUAGGGCUGGGGGGUGCUGUGUCUGUGUUGAGUGAUUGACCUGAGCAUCCUCAGCGAGGAUCCAUCUUCAUGCAUGCAAUGCAACUUUGGAGUCUCCCCUUUUCCACUGCACUGCUAAAGGGACACAGGGAUCAGGGCCUGCCCCUCAGAUCCCCAUCAGGGAAUUAACCUCUCCCCCUGCCACGUUUUGAGCUACCUAUGGUCUCAGAGGCUCUGCAAUAAAAUCUCAAUCUAUUGAGCAGCCCACAAAGCCAUCAUGGGUGCAGGGCUAAGCUGCAGGCAUUGUACUAAGGGAGCUGGAGAGGCAAAGCCACUCAAGAAAAUGGUUGAUAAAAACUCAGUGGAGGGAGGUGAGAACAAUCUCGGAGACAGAGGCUCUGCCAAUGGCAAUCACGACGCUAACACAAGGUGUGACCUUCCAGGCCAUGAGGUGAGGGAGAUGCAGAAGCUGAUCCGUGGACACAAGGAGGAAGGAAGUCCAGACCAGGAUGGAGCCUGGAGGCUGUGGCUUCUCACGGUCCUUGAAGGAGAAGAAUCUGGACACAUUUGCCCUCAGACUCAGUGAGUCUUCACUGCAUGCAGCCAGGCUUGAGCAGCCUCUGUCUCCAUAUUGGGACUAGAGCUAUGAAGGAGAGAGGCUGUUUCCCAUGUUCAUGGAGCCUUCAGUUCAGCAGAGGAGCUGGGAGUUAGACCUGAGAUUGCACAAUGAGUAUCUAAUUACGCUUGUUCUAAAUGCUGUGAAGAAGUUGACCAUAAGCAGGACGCCUGAGUGGUUCAGUAGUUGAGCAUCUGCCUCUGGCUCAGGUCGUGGUCCUGGGAUCCUAGGAUCGAGUCCCACAUCGGGCUCCCCACAGGGAGCCUGCUUCUCCCUCUGCCUGUGUCUCUGCCUCUCUCUCUAUCUCUCUCAUGAAUAAAUAAAUGCAACCUCUAAAAAAAAGAAGAAAAGAAGAAGUUGCCAUACUGUGUACAUAUUAGCAGGGGAGGGGCUCACCUCACCCAGCGGUCACAGUUGGCCUCCCAUGGAAGCCACAAUGAGGCUGAGACCUAAAGGUUGAGCUGGUGAGGUACAGGUGACAAGGAAUCUGGUGGGGAUGUCCUGAAGGUGGAAAAGCGAUCAGAAUGUGGGAAAAACCCAGUUUGAGUGAGCUAAAAGGAAGGGGGUGAUUGGGUGGGAAAUGAGGAGGCAGGCAGGGGCUGGAGUCUUCUGGCUUCGUCAGCUUAGAUUUCAUCCCAGUAAUGUAGUAGUGAGGACUUGUUGAACGUUCCCGGGAAACUGAGAUGAUGAACCAUUUUAGCCAGGAUGCCAGUACUAGGAUGGGCUGGCCAGGUGGGAAGCCGUCUUCCACAGGCCUAUUACGGGGAACGCCUUCUGGCCAAGGAACCCUUACCCCAGCCUUGGUUAGGUCUCUUUAUUUCCAGUGUCGGGCGCAGAACUUGGAACAGAGGAGGGGGGCGAUCCAUGCUUGCUGACUUGAAAGGAAGUGUCCAAGAAUUCCCUGCCCUUUAAACACACCGUACAGCUAGCUAUAAGAUAGCUGAUGAUAUUGCUCCCUCUUCUCCCGGCUACUAACUCAUGCUCCUGACCGCUGUCAGACCUGCUACCUUUUCUACCUGUGGACCUUUCCGUGAUGCUUCUAACUUUCCCACUCCUUGAGCUAAAACACCCUAAUCUUCCAGUUUGCUUUGAGGAUAAAGCAGUCCAAGUGUAACUGAUUUUCCCUUACCAUGGAUCAUUUACCCUCUUGUAUCUUUUUAUAUCAAAUACUUUCUAAAAUAUACAAUUUCCUGACCUCAAGGUAAUUGCACUGGCUCUAUCAACCCAUGCAUUAUUUUUAUUUUAUUUUAUUUCAUUUCAUUUUAUUUUAUU